UACGGAGGGUGCAAGCGUUAAUCGGAAUUACUGGGCGUAAAGCGCACGCAGGUGGCUGAGUCAGUCGAUUGUGAAAGCCCUGGGCUUAACCUGGGAAUUGCAGUCGAUACUACUUAGCUAGAGUAUGGGAGAGGGCAGUGGAAUUCCCGGUGUAGCGGUGAAAUGCGUAGAUAUCGGGAGGAACAUCAGUGGCGAAGGCGGCUGCCUGGCCCAAUACUGACACUCAGGUGCGACAGCGGGGGGAGCAAACAGG
rnacentral:rRNA from 1 species